UGGAAUAUUACGUCUGGCAUGACUGGAUAAUGUAUAAAUAUUUUAAAUAACACAAAACAGCAAAAUGGUGGUAGGUAAUACAUCUGAUUUCAUAUACUGUUUUAGUAAAAAAAUAUUACCUGGCUGACGAUGGGAGCAGCCGGAUGAAAAAAACGAAAAUUGCUGUUGCACUUGUCUGGACAUCUUGCCGUGACAAUGUUGCAAUAAAGGUUUCCUAUAUGCCAUGUACUGUAUAUAAAUUUAAUGUCAGCUUACUAAUUGAUUGCACAUUUUGUGUAGAUUUGGACUUUUAUAUGUUUAUUCCACUUUGUUUAAACGGCGAAGUGGAGAGGCUUCA